rnacentral:rRNA from 1 species
AUUUAUAACAUAAUCAAGUUAAUUUAAAAAAUAAAAACACUUGUUGUUAAGCAGGGUUGGGCCUGGUUAGUACUUGGAUGGGAGACCACCCAGGAAGACCAGGUGCUGUAAGCG